GACGAACGCUGGCGGCGUGCCUAAUACAUGCAAGUCGAACGCAGUGGGGACGGGUGAGUAACACGUGGGUAACCUCCCAUCAGAGGGGAUAACACUUGGAAACAGGUGCUAAACCGAUACUGGUGGAUGGCCCAGCGGUGCCUUGGCUAGUUGGUGUGUUAGCGGCUUACCAAGGCCACGAUGCAUAGCCGACCGUAGAGGGGGAUCGGCCACACUGGCACUGAUACCCGUCCCAGACUCCUACGUGAGGCAGCAGUAGGGAAUCUUCGGCAUGGGACGAAAGUCUGACCGAGCAACGCCGCGUGAUUGAAGAAGGUUUUCGGAUCGUAAAACUCUGUUUUUAGAGAAGCGGUAUCUAACCAGAAAGCCACGGCUAACUACGUGCCAGCCGCCGCGGUAAUUC
rnacentral:rRNA from 1 species